CCUACGGGAGGCUGCAGUGGGGAAUAUUGGACAAUGGGGGGAACCCUGAUCCAGCCAUGCCGCGUGUGUGAAGAAGGCCCUCGGGUUGUAAAGCACUUUCAGUGAGGAAGAACGCCUGGUGGUUAAUACCCAUCAGGAAAGACAUCACUCACAGAAGAAGCACCGGCUAACUCCGUGCCAGCAGCCGCGGUAAUACAGAGGGUGCGAGCGUUAAUCGGAAUUACUGGGCGUAAAGCGCGCGUAGGUGGCUUGAUAAGCCGGUUGUGAAAGCCCCGGGCUCAACCUGGGAACGGCAUCCGGAACUGUCAAGCUAGAGUGCAGGAGAGGAAGGUAGAAUUCCCGGUGUAGCGGUGAAAUGCGUAGAGAUCGGGAGGAAUACCAGUGGCGAAGGCGGCCUUCUGGACUGACACUGACACUGAGGUGCGAAAGCGUGGGUAGCAAACAGGAUUAGAUACCCUAGUAGUC
rnacentral:rRNA from 1 species